AGAAUUACUUGAACCUGGGAGACAGAGGUUGCCGUGAGCCAAGAUCUCACCAGUGCAGUACAGCGUGGGUGACAGAGCAAGUAAGUAAAGAGGAGGUUUGGAAUUAGAUAUUUGGUGUAUGAAUGAAUGGGCUAAAGUGCAAAAGAACAGGCAGAAUAACUGAGCUGGUACAGAGGAAAAAAAUCACACUUAAAAUCUAAAAGUAUCUGCUUCUCAAUUUGGGCUUUCCCACUUAGCAGCUUUGACACCUUAGAAAGAACACUUAACUUACCUGAGCUUCUAUUACUUCUAAAAAGUGCAUAAAGUGCAGGCUAAGACAUAGUUUUUUUGGCAAAAUUCAGUCAGACUACAUCAAGUAAACUCCCUAAGUCUCCUAGUAUAAUUCAUGGCACAAAAACUGGGGAAAAAACAGGGAGGAUAUGUUUAUAAGUUCAGUUUGGGUUUUUUGUUGAGUGAAUGUCUCCAGUCAUAGAGAUGCAAGUGUAGAUACACCGUAAGAGUAGUAUGAACAGGAGACACCUUGGAAGGCUAUUUCUUCCUUCAUUCAUUCAGUUGGUCACUCAAUGAACUAUCAUGAAUUGAGCACUACCUCUGUUUCUUAUCAACAAAGGAGACUACGGAAAAGAAGAGUGACUAAGAUCUCUGAAGAAGGGAAAAGCUAGAUGACUGGGCCACAAGAGGAAAAAAAGCAGCAAGACAGCUUGAAUGUGAGGCAACUGUGAAAAGUGCAGGGCAGAGCCACCUGGGUAAAUACAGCCCUGGCUUUCUGGUGAGAGGACUGAAACCAGGAUGUGUCAAGUAACUAGAAUGUGCCUGGACAGAUACUGUAGAAAGCAAACCCAUAAAGUUGUUCAUGAGCUUGUGGACGCACCUGCCAGCUGUGAAUAAGUGGGUCUAAUCCCAAACAACUUACCUAAAAAGAGCCUGAGGACUGAACUAAACAAUGGUCCACUUUCCAGUCCUCACUGACCACUGGUUGCACACACUCCAGAGAUCUCUCAUCCGCAGUGUCAAGGCUUUCAAAUAGAGUUAUCUGUGAAACAACAACACAUGGAAGUCUGGUUGGUACUUGGAGCUUAAAUACAAGGCAAUUGUGUGCCUGCAAAAACAAAAA
rnacentral:lncRNA from 1 species